CCAGCCAAGCCGGCCAGCAGCAGGGCCAACAGAAGCAGAAGCGCCACCGGACGCGCUUCACCCCCGCACAGCUCAACGAGUUGGAGAGGAGCUUCGCCAAGACUCACUACCCCGACAUCUUUAUGCGUGAGGAGCUGGCACUGCGUAUCGGGCUGACCGAGUCCCGAGUGCAGGCUGCCUGUGCGUUCCUGUAUCGAGUUAUCUCCUUCUCUACCCGGAAACUGGUCCCCAUCGCCAUCCCCCAAUGGACACGCAAGGCCCGUCUCCGGCCAGUAUAGCGACAUCCCGGAAGAAGCUCCUCAAAAUCGAAGCCCGGCGUUGUCGGGCUACAGGGUUCGCCUCCUCCGCCUGAGAAGGCAACCUCAGCGCCCCCCCGGGCGGCCCAGCCGAGCGCACACCUCAACUCCUGCUCGCAUUAUUGACAAAUAUUACCCCCUAAUGAGUUUGUGUUAAGCGUUUGGAUAAAAGGAGGAAUGCAACAAUUAUACAGAAAACAAGAGAAAAGAGCAAAUAAGGCGAAUGAGCGCCUUUUAAAAAAGUGCUACACCCAGGUUUCACGGCGUGGCUUUAUUACCUUAAGUAUCACCCUCCCUCUGCACUCAGGCGAAAUAUUCCUAGCUUUGAUGUUUGCAAGGGGUUUGAACUUUCGUAGUCUACCAGUGCGCUGGGGGCAGCUGACGAGAUUCCCAAAGCCGGUGAGCCCCGUUUUGUUUUGGAGUCCUCUAAGGAAGCUACGGUGGGGGAGGGGAAAUGAAGGCUUUCUGUUGUGGAUAUCAUGUCUGAAGAAGGGGCAUUCAGAACGGGAAAGGUUGACAGGCAGUAGAGGAAAUCAUUGCUGACCCCUUAUUCUCCUCCAACCACUCUCCAAGCUGUAAAUUAUAUAUAACCUAGAAAAUCACACCUAUAAUUAUUCUGAAAAUUGGUGAAUAAAAGUAUAAGCCUAGUGAAUCCCAGA
rnacentral:lncRNA from 1 species